UCCGCCGCGAGGCGGAAUCUGAAGGAAGCCAGCGGCAAACCUCCGGCCCGAGGACCACGAACCCCAGGUGAGGCUAGCGGCAGUUGGAUGAGCUUGCCGAACAAAGCGAAGUCCUUGUCACCGAAGGCUGCCGAGAGUAAAUGGGGCGGGUAGAUGGAGGGAAAGGCAACGUU
rfam:Heliobacterium modesticaldum Ice1, complete genome.